rnacentral:rRNA from 1 species
AGACGUCUACUAUUAGAUACCCGUGUAGUCCCAGCCGUAAACUAUGCUCGCUAGGUGUCAGGCAUGGCGCGACCGUGUCUGGUGCCGCAGGGAAGCCGUGAAGCGAGCCACCUGGGAAGUACGGCCGCAAGGCUGAAACUUAAAGGAAUUGGCGGGGGAGCACAACAACGGGUGGAGCCUGCGGUUUAAUUGGACUCAACGCCGGACAACUCACCGGGGACGACAGCAAUAUGUAGGCCAGGCUGAAGACCUUGCCUGAAUCGCUG